GAUGAACGCUGGCGGCGUGCCUAAUACAUGCAAGUCGAGCGAACAGACGAGGAGCUUGCUCCUCUGACGUUAGCGGUGGACGGGUGAGUAACACGUGGAUAACCUACCUAUAAGACUGGGAUAACUUCGGGAAACCGGGGCUAAUACCGGAUAAUAUAUUGAACCGCAUGGUUCAAUAGUGAAAGACGGUUUUGCUGUCACUUAUAGAUGGAUCCGCGCCGCAUUAGCUAGUUGGUAAGGUAACGGCUUACCAAGGCAACGAUGCGUAGCCGACCUGAGAGGGUGAUCGGCCACACUGGAACUGAGACACGGUCCAGACUCCUACGGGAGGCAGCAGUAGGGAAUCUUCCGCAAUGGGCGAAAGCCUGACGGAGCAACGCCGCGUGAGUGAUGAAGGUCUUCGGAUCGUAAAACUCUGUUAUUAGGGAAGAACAAAUGUGUAAGUAACUAUGCACGUCUUGACGGUACCUAAUCAGAAAGCCACGGCUAACUACGU
rnacentral:rRNA from 1 species